rnacentral:rRNA from 1 species
ACCCGCACAAGCGGUGGAUUAUGUGGAUUAAUUCGAUGCAACGCGAAAACCUUACCUACCCUUGACAUGUCCUGAAGCCUGGAGAGAUCCGGGUGUGCCGAAAGGGAACGGGAACACAGGUGCUGCAUGGCUGUCGUCAGCUCGUGUCGUGAGAUGUUGGGUUAAGUCCCGCAACGAGCGCAACCCUUGUCAUUAGUUGCUACAUUUGGUUGGGCACUCUAAUGAGACUGCCGGUGACAAACCGGAGGAAGGUGGGGAUGACGUCAAGUCCUCAUGGCCCUUAUGGGUAGGGCUUCACACGUAAUACAAUGGCGCGUACAGAGGGUUGCCAAGCCGCGAGGUGGAGCCAAUCCCAGAAAGCGCGUCGUAGUCCGGAUUGCAGUCUGCAACUCGACUGCAUGAAGUCGGAAUCGCUAGUAAUCGCGGAUCAGCAUGUCGCGGUGAAUACGUUCCCGGGUCUU